UACGGGGGGAGCAAGCGUUGUUCGGAUUUACUGGGCGUAAAGGGCGCGUAGGCGGUCGUGACAAGUCACUUGUGAAAUCUCCGGGCUUAACUCGGAACGGUCAAGUGAUACUGUCGGACUAGAGUACAGAAGGGGCAACUGGAAUUCUCGGUGUAGCGGUGAAAUGCGUAGAUACCGAGAGGAACACCAGUGGCGAAGGCGGCCCUCUGGACAGUGCGUGACGGCUGAGGCGCGAAAGUGUGGGGAGCGAACCGG
rnacentral:rRNA from 1 species